rnacentral:rRNA from 1 species
UACAGAGGGUGCGAGCGUUGUCCGGAAUCACUGGGCUUAAAGCGCGUGUAGGUGGGUCGUUAAGUGUCCGCGUGAAAUCCCACGGCUCAACCGUGGAACUGCCGGGCAUACUGGCGAUCUUGAGGCAUUCAGGGGCGAGCGGAACAAAUGGUGGAGCGGUGAAAUGCGUAGAUAUCAUUUGGAACGCCAAUGGUGAAAACAGCUCGCUGGGAAUGAUCUGACACUGAGACGCGAAAGCCAGGGGAGCGAACGGG